UACAGAGGGUGCAAGCGUUGUUCGGAAUUAUUGGGCGUAAAGCGUCCGUAGGUGGCUAGUCAAGUCUGCGGUCAAAGACUGGGGCUUAACCCUGGAAAGGCCGUGGAAACUGACGAGCUAGAGUGCAGUAGGGGUAGAGGGAAUUCCCGGUGUAGCGGUGAAAUGCGCAGAUAUCAGGAGGAACACCGGUGGCGAAGGCGGGUCUCUGGGCCGAUACUGACGCUGAGGAGCGAAAGCGUGGGGAGCGAACAGG
rnacentral:rRNA from 1 species